rnacentral:rRNA from 1 species
UACGGGGGGGCAAGCGUUGUUCGGAAUUACUGGGCGUAAAGGCGCGUAGGCGGCCUUCUAAGUCAGACGUGAAAUCCCCGGCUUAACCUGGGAACUGCGUCUGAUACUGGGAGGCUUGAGUAUGGGAGAGGGAUGUAGAAUUCCAGGUGUAGCGGUGAAAUGACGUAGAUAUCUGGAGGAAUACCGGUGGCGAAGGCGGCAUCCUGGACCAUAACUGACGCUGAGGCGGCGAAAGCUAGGGAGCAAACGGG